rnacentral:rRNA from 1 species
GCUGUAUCAGAGUUGUCAUCCUCACCCAUGAAUCAGUUUUGUCCAUGCCUAGAAUAUCUAUGGUUAUUUAGAUGUGGAAAUUUACCAGCGGUUCUAAAUCUUCCUCCCUCCUUAGAGACCAUACAUAUUUGUUGUUGUAGUAGUAUUCAAGUCCUAUCAUGUCACAUGUUGGGGGGGAUCCUCCGCCUGCCCACAUCCCUCGAGACGCUGGAUAUUAUGGGCAAUAGUCGGUUGACGCCGCUGGAGUCAAUGUCAGCAGAGCACCCCCCAUCGUUGGAAACCCUUUCUCUUUUUGACUGCACUACCCUGGCAUCCCUGCCAAAUGAACCACAAACAUAUGGGUCUCUCAAAAAUCUUACAAUAUUUGGCUGUCCAGCUAUAAAGAUCCUCCCUAGAUGCCUGCAGCAACGACUGGACAGCCUUGACUACAAAUGGCUAGAUGCCCGUUAUGAAGGU